GAUGAACGCUGGCGGCGUGCCUAAUACAUGCAAGUCGAGCGAACGGACGAGAAGCUUGCUUCUCUGAUGUUAGCGGCGGACGGGUGAGUAACACGUGGAUAACCUACCUAUAAGACUGGGAUAACUUCGGGAAACCGGAGCUAAUACCGGAUAAUAUUUUGAACCGCAUGGUUCAAAAGUGAAAGACGGUCUUGCUGCCACCUAUAGAUGGAUCCGCGCUGCAUUAGCUAGUUGGUAAGGUAACGGCUUACCAAGGCAACGAUGCAUAGCCGACCUGAGAGGGUGAUCGGCCACGCUGGAACUGAGACACGGUCCAGACUCCUACGGGAGGCAGCAGUAGGGAAUCUUCCGCAAUGGGCGAAAGCCUGACGGGGCAACGCCGCGUGAGGGAUGAAGGUCUUCGGAUCGUAAAACUCUGUUAUUAGGGAAGAACAUAUGUGUAAGUAACUGUGCACAUCUUGACGGUACCUAAUCAGAAAGCCACGGCUAACUACGUG
rnacentral:rRNA from 1 species